rnacentral:piRNA from 1 species
UAAUAAAUUUAUGUUAUUGGAAAUAAGUGA